UACGUAGGGGGCAAGCGUUGUCCGGAAUUAUUGGGCGUAAAGAGCUCGUAGGCGGUCUGUUGCGUCCGCUGUGAAAACUCGGGGCUUAACCCCGAGCCUGCAGUGGAUACGGGCAGACUAGAGGUAGGUAGGGGAGAAUGGAAUUCCCGGUGUAGCGGUGAAAUGCGCAGAUAUCGGGAGGAACACCGGUGGCGAAGGCGGUUCUCUGGGCCUUACCUGACGCUGAGGAGCGAAAGUGUGGGGAGCGAACAGG
rnacentral:rRNA from 1 species